rnacentral:rRNA from 1 species
CGUGUAGGCGGACUGGAAAGUCAGGUGUGAAAUCCCUGGGCUCAACCUAGGAACUGCAUUUGAAACUGCCAGUCUUGAGUGUCGGAGAGGGAAGCGGAAUUCCUGGUGUAGAGGUGAAAUUCGUAGAUAUCAGGAGGAACACCGGUGGCGAAGGCGGCUUCCUGGACGAUGACUGACGCUGAGACGCGAAAGCGUGGGGAGCAAACAGGAUUAGAUACCCUGGUAGUCC